UAAAAAUAAAAUAAUAAUAUAUAUGUAAUCCCUGCAUUCAGCCCUUGGCGCCGCUAUAGGAUAUAGACCUAUCCUUCUCCCUCGCCUCAAUUGAGCUGUAGUGUUAAUGGCAUCCUUCAUACUUUCCAGUGCGCUGAGAAUUUCUGUGCCGGAACCUCGUUCAACUCCACUUUCGCUGCUGGACUCAUCAUCUCUUUUCCUGAUAUCGAUGAGUUUUAUCCACCAAACAUGAUACUAUUCGACAUGACUGAGUCCAAAAGUACUUGAACGUGAAGAAGACUCAAAACAUAAAAGUGGAGUGAGAGUUCAUUGGCUACGGAGCCGCUCAACAGCAAUGGAGCUUCAAACCUCGGAGCCAAAGACUGCUAUCUUCACAGACCCGAAAGUAACAUUUUUCAUUGGAUUGUGGUGCUUCCACAGGGCCGAAAGUAACAACCUCCAUGGACUUUAGGACAGCAAUUCAUUGGACUAUGACGCCUUCAUCCCGGAACAAUGUUUCCAUAAGGUCAGAAAGUUUUGUCUCCAUUGAAUUGAAAACAACUAUCUCCAUUGGACUGCGAUGCUUCCACAAAGCAAAGGAAGAUUGCCACCACAAGAUAGAAAGCAACAGCUUCCACAGAUCAUGGGAUAACUACCUUCGUUGGCCCUGGGUUAAUAAUUUCAUACUUAACAUUAGUGGAGGGCCUAUGCACUUUCAUAUUCUAUUCAAAAAGCUCAUGGAACAAGCAAACAAGAAGAAAACCGAAGAUUCCAUUUAACUCGAGGCUGUUGGGGAUACAUCCCCAUAGACCGGCUAGAGUACGAUGGAAACAAGUCGGAGUAAGCGGUAGAUUUGGUCCAGAGGCAAUGGAAGAAUUUCAAAGCAAGUGGAACCCAGUCCAGGGGCAAUGGAAGCGGUUGAGAACUUAUCGAAGGAGGUUACCAGGUGGUUAGGAGCUAAUGGAAGGAGAUUACCAAGGAACUGAUGGAAGGAGGUUAUCAGACAGUUGGAGGUAGUGGAAGGAGGUUACCAGGAAGUUGGAGGUAGUAGUGAGAGGUUACCAGACGGUUGACAGUGGUGGAGGAAUAAUUGGAGCUGCCCUUUUUAGUGGGAAGAGGCGGUUAUUCUAUUUUAGGAUUAAAAUUAGGAAAAAACGCAUCACACAGAGGCACAAGAAGAUGAACUCGUAUUUUUCUCUAUUUUCUUUUCAUAUUUUAGUUUCAUUUUAUGCAUUUUAAUUCGAAUUACAUGUUUUCUAUUCGUUUUUCAGUAGAUUUAUCCGAGUUUUAGUAGAUGUUAGUUUAAAUCCAUCGAAAUCGAUCGUUUAGGCUCGAAGCCGUGCAGGCUCCACCGAAGAAGCCGCCCAAAAUCCAACGACGGACAGGCUCUUUGGAGUACUUCCGAAACCCACACCGACAAAUCGACGAACGGUCUUGGAACCUCCGAAUUUUAGGAUCCAACGAUUGGCACGCCUAGCGGGACCAAAGUCGGAUUUUUCGAAGAGUGAUGUCGAGGUUGACAUGGGGUUCAUUUGUACCGCCUGAAGAAAGCUACGGAAUUGUUGUAAAACAUCCAAUGCUUCAGGCCUUAGGGCCGGGGCAGGCAAGAUUAGGUUGGAACCAACAGGGUUGGAACCACCAGGCUGCGGAAGGUUGGAACCAACAACCUGCAGGAAGCUGGAAGCAACAGCCUGCGGAUGGCUGGAGCCAACAGCCUGUGCAAGGCUGGCAACAGCCUGCGGAGCACUGAAACCAGCAGCCUACAGAGGUUGGAACCAACAUCCUGCGGAUGGCUGGAGCCAACAGCCUGUGAAAGGCUAGCGACAGCCUACGGAGCGCUGGAGCCAACAGGCUGCGGAGGGCUGGAACCCCUUGGCCAUUGGAGUUUUGAAGAGCAGUGUUGAGCCUCCACGAGGGGCAAGCAAAUUUCUAGCAUUUGGCAUGAUCCCACCAGGACAAUUAAGCGGACAUCCUAUGUGGAAUGCGCCAACGCCACUAUGGGGAUGUAACGGUCCGAACGUGGCUAAUCUCCAAUGGAAAAGGAUCAUCGAAACACAAGGGCAAGGAGGGCAGACCGCAGAGAUGUAGCCGCCAACCUUCCAUCAGCAGGCAGCUGUAGUGCAGCCGCUGACAUCAAAUCAACGAGAGGCCAAGCCUCUCAUGGACGUUAAUGUCAUCGCAGAUUGCAUAAGGAGGACACUUUCAAAAACAAGGCUUGAAAAGAAGCCUAGUGCUACUUUGAUUGCGGAAAAUUCACCUCCAUACGAAAAAGAAGCUGCAGGGGCAGAGACUCCAGAUGUUGUGGAGACUCCAGUCGAAAAGGAGUCUGCGGAGGCAGAGGUUCUAAAAGCCAUGGAAGUGCCAGAACUUGUGGAGGCAGAGAUUCCAGAGGCUGUGGAGGCUCUAAUUGAAAAGGAGUCUGCGAAGGCAGAGGUUCCAGAAGCCAUGGAAACUCCAAAGGCUGUGGAAGCUCCAGUUGAAAAUGAGUCUACGGAGGCAGAAGUUUCAGAAGCCAUGGAUGCUCUUGAGCUUAUGGAGGCAGAGACUUCAAAGGCUGUGGAGGCUCCAGUUGAACAGGAGUUUGCGGAGGCAGAGGUUCCAGAAGCCAUGGAAGCUCCCUACCAAUAAUUGAUAUGUUUGAGUGGAUAUGACGAAGGUUGAUGGUUCGACUUAAAAAAAAAAGGCGGGGAUCGAGAAAUUCGAGGGAAUUGUGUGCCCUAACAUCAUGAAAAAGGUGGAGCUGGUGCGGAAGGGUAGCCGAAAUUGUUUUCCAUCAUGGGGCGGCGAUGACAAGUACGAAGUUAUGCACUUCAUGCAUAAUCAAGUUGUCAAGCUGAACCAGCAUAUGUGCACCUGCAGCAUGUUCCAAAUUAGCGGAUAUCCUUGUUUCCAUAGAGUGGCCGCGAUCGAGUACCAGAGAUUUGCGGUGGAAAAUUUCAUAGAUGGAUGCUUCAAAAAGGAAACGUAAAUGGCAGUAUACACCCAUGCGAUAGACCCCGUCCUUGGAAUACAUGAGUACGAAGAAUCCAUGCUUGGGGAGGUGGCACCUCCUGUCGUGAAGGUUCGCACUGGGCGUCCGAAAAAAGCUGGUCAAUGUGACGGUAAUGAUGAGCGGCGGGAUGGUAAAGCAUCUUGAUAUGGAUUGAUGACUGCCUAUUCCAAAUGCCAUCGACAAGGGCACAACAAAAGAAGUUGCAAAAAUGAUCCGCCGCUCUCUAAGCUCCCACGAAUCGGGCGAGAGAUCUUUGUUCCCAACCCGAACCACAGAACACGUCAAGGAAAGAUCCCAUCAAUCGGCCGGACGGACACUGCUCCUAGUCCGAAUAGGUUGCCUCUAACGUACAGGCGUCACCGGACUGUGUACCAGCAACGCCGUUGUCUCAGGUGCAAUCUCAGGGUCCAUCGGGGAUGACAGACGGAAGUGGAGGGAGUCGACGUGCAUCGUGGUCAUCACUGCUCCGGAGUGUUCGGUUUUCACUCAAGCCAGGGUGUCGGGGGGCUUCAGGUGGUGCAUCUUCCCGAGGUCGUUAAUAAGAUUCUAUCGAUGUCUGUUUUGGAUGCGUGCACAGGUACCCAGAGUAGUUUAUUAUCAUAUGUGUUUGUUAGUAUAGAACCAAUUAGCCUUGGACACAGUUAUGCAUAUUAGCCCCGGAAUUUUGUGAAUCGGAUCGAGGAUAUUAUGUGGGUUGUUGUACUUUAUGUAGAUUAUAGUUUGGAUAUUUUGUUUCGUGCCUAAGUUGUUGGAAGUAUUGUAAAAUUGCAGUGUUUGUUAGGAAAUUAAUAUUAUGCCAUGUAUGUUGAAGUGUUUGUUUAGGUCGUAUUGUUGUGGCUUGUGCGGUU